rnacentral:rRNA from 1 species
AUGCAAGUCGAGCGAGAAAAGGGGGGCAACUCCCUGAGUACAGCGGCGCACGGGUGAGUAACACGUGGGUAAUCUGCCCUGAAGUGGGGAAUAACACCGGGAAACCGGUGCUAAUACCGCAUACGAUCACGGAGUCUGCGGAUUUUGUGAUGAAAGGAGCAAUUCGCUUUAGGAGGAGCCCGCGGCUGAUUAGCUAGUUGGUGAGGUAAUGGCUCACCAAGGCUACGAUCAGUAUCCGGUCUGAGAGGACGGUCGGACACACUGGAACUGAGACACGGUCCAGACUCCUACGGGAGGCAGCAGUGGGGAAUUUUUCGCAAUGGGGGCAACCCUGACGAAGCAACGCCGCGUGGGUGAUGAAGUCUCUUGGGACGUAAAACCCUUUCGACGGGGAAGAAACCGUAAGGUUGACGGUACCCGUAGAAGAAGCCCCGGCUAACUCCGUGCCAGCAGCCGCGGUAAUACGGCGGGGGCAAGCGUUGUUCGGAAUUACUGGGCGUAAAGGGUGCGUA